rnacentral:rRNA from 1 species
AGCGUGGGGAGCAAACAGGAUUAGAUACCCUGGUAGUCCACGCCGUAAACGAUGAGUGCUAGGUGGUUGGGGGGUUGCGGUCCCCCCUCAGUGCUGAAGUUAACACAUUAAGCACUCCGCCUGGGGAGUACGACCGCAAGGUUGAAACUCAAAGGAAUUGACGGGGGCCCGCACAAGCAGUGGAGCAUGUGGUUUAAUUCGAAGCAACGCGAAGAACCUUACCAGGUCUUGACAUCCUUUGACCACUCUAGAGAUAGAGCUUUCCCCUUCGGGGGACAAAGUGACAGGUGGUGCAUGGU